rnacentral:lncRNA from 1 species
UCUAACUAGUGUCAUUCCCUCGGAACUAGGCAACAUGGAAUCCAUGACAGAUUUAGCGCUAAGUCAGAACAAACUUACCGGUUCAAUUCCUUCUUCCUUAGGAAAUCUCAAGAACUUGAUGGUUCUUUAUCUUUACGAGAACUAUCUAACUGGUGUCAUUCCCCCGGAACUAGGUAACAUGGAAUCCAUGACAGAUUUAGCUUUAAGUCAGAACAAACUUACCGGUUCAAUUCCUUCUACCUUAGGAAAUCUCAAGAACUUGAUGGUUCUUUAUCUUUACGAGAACUAUCUAACUGGUGUCAUUCCCCCAGAAAUAGGCAACAUGGAAUCCAUGACAAAUUUAGCGCUAAGUCAGAACAAACUUACUGGUUCAAUUCCUUCUUCCUUAGGUAAUCUCAAGAACUUGACGCUUCUUUCUCUUUUCCAGAACUAUCUAACUGGUGGCAUUCCCCCGAAACUAGGCAACAUAGAAUCCAUGAUCGAUUUAGAGUUGAGUAACAACAAACUUACCGGUUCAAUUCCUUCUUCCUUAGGAAAUCUCAAGAAUUUGACUAUUCUUUAUCUUUACGAGAACUAUUUAACUGGUGUCAUUCCCCCGGAACUAGGCAACAUGGAAUCGAUGAUUGAUUUACAGUUGAAUAACAACAAACUUACCGGUUCAAUUCCUUCUUCCUUCGGAAAUCUCAAGAACUUGACGUAUCUUUAUCUUUACCUGAAUUAUUUAACUGGUGUCAUUCCCCAGGAGCUAGGCAACAUGGAAUCCAUGAUCAAUUUAGAUUUAAGUCAGAACAAACUUACAGGUUCUGUUCCUGAUUCCUUUGGUAACUUUACCAAGCUGGAAAGUUUGUACCUUCGUGUUAACCACCUCUCUGGUGCGAUCCCGCCAGGAGUAGCAAAC